rnacentral:rRNA from 1 species
UACGUAGGGUGCGAGCGUUGUCCGGAAUUACUGGGCGUAAAGAGCUCGUAGGCGGUUUGUCGCGUCGUCCGUGAAAACUUGGGGCUCAACCCCAAGCUUGCGGGCGAUACGGGCAGACUUGAGUACUGCAGGGGAGACUGGAAUUCCUGGUGUAGCGGUGAAAUGCGCAGAUAUCAGGAGGAACACCGGUGGCGAAGGCGGGUCUCUGGAUCGGCCCUGACGCUGAGGCGCGAAAGCGUGGGGAGCGAACGGG